GGAGAUGUAGCUCAGUUGGUAAAAGUGCUGGCCUAGCAUGCAAGAAGCCCUGGGUUUGACUCCCAGAGCACCA
rnacentral:tRNA from 1 species